UCUUAUGUACAUGCCUACAACAUUAAUGCAUCAUAUCCCAUUAUAAAUUUGCAGUUAAGCAUACUUGGGCUAGAGUAGUAUUGGGAUGAGUCACCUCCCAAGAAGUCCUAGUGUUUUACAUGCC
rnacentral:rRNA from 1 species